rnacentral:rRNA from 1 species
UACGUAGGGUGCGAGCGUUGUCCGGAAUUAUUGGGCGUAAAGGGCGCGUAGGCGGCCUUCUAAGUCGAACGUGAAAUCCCCGGGCUCAACCCGGGAACUGCGUCCGAUACUGGGAGGCUUGAAUCCGGGAGAGGGAUGUGGAAUUCCAGGUGUAGCGGUGAAAUGCGUAGAGAUGUGGAGGAACACCGAUGGCGAAGGCAGCCCCCUGGGCUAACACUGACGCUCAGGCACGAAAGCGUGGGGAGCAAACAGG